CCGGUGGAUCACGUGGCUAGUGGUACCGGUGGAUCACGUGGCUAGGUGGUACCGGUGGAUCACGUGGCUAGUGUGUCGAUGAAGAGCGCAGCCAACUGUGUGAAUUAAUGUGAACUGCAUACUGCUUUGAACGUCGACAUCUUGAACG
rnacentral:rRNA from 1 species